CAUUUCUUAAAUGGAAAGGUCUAAUGCCACUGACGUGAGUUCUGUAAUCCAGGACUCUUUCUUGUGCUGCAACAUAUUUGUCAUAAAGAACUUCACAGUGCAUGUUUACUAUUGAUACUCUCGCCAACAUAUGUUCUGAAGCUUCUUUACCAACACCGACAAAUUUACAGUCCAUCGCAACAUGCUUUGUAAUUCUAGGAUAAUGAAGUUUUUAUUGUUAAAUAAAGUAGUA